UACGUAGGGUGCAAGCGUUUGUCCGGAAUUAUUGGGCGUAAAGCGUCCGCAGGUGGCACCUCAAGUCUGCUGUCAAAGACCGGGGCUUAACCCCAGAAAGGCAGUGGAAACUGAAGUGCUAGAGUGCAGUAGGGGUAGAGGGAAUUCCCGGUGUAGCGGUGAAAUGCGUAGAGAUCGGGAAGAACAUCGGUGGCGAAAGCGCUCUGCUGGACUGCAACUGACACUCAGGGACGAAAGCUAGGGGAGCGAACAGG
rnacentral:rRNA from 1 species